rnacentral:rRNA from 1 species
AUGGGCGCAGCCUGAUCCAGCCAUGCCGCGUGUGUGAUGAAGGCCUUAGGGUUGUAAAGCACUUUCGCCGAUGAAGAUAAUGACUGUAGUCGGAGAAGAAGCCCCGGCUAACUUCGUGCCAGCAGCCGCGGUAAUACGAAGGGGGCUAGCGUUGUUCGGAAUUACUGGGCGUAAAGCGUACGUAGGCGGAUUGUUAAGUGAGGGGUGAAAUCCCGAGGCUCAACCUCGGAACUGCCUUUCAUACUGGCAAUCUUGAGUCCGGGAGAGGUGAGUGGAACUCCUAGUGUAGAGGUGAAAUUCGUAGAUAUUAGGAAGAACACCAGUGGCGAAGGCGGCUCACUGGCCCGGAACUGACGCUGAGGUACGAAAGCGUGGGGAGCAAACAGGAUUAGAUACCCUG